GCUGGGGUUCCACCUUGCUUGUGCAGCCCGCCGUUGCGUCUGGUUGGGUGUCUUUAAACGGAUGCCCAUCUUUGGACGUGACCCCUUUACCUUGAACAAAUCGGAGUGCUCAAAGCAGGCUCCUUUCGCUCGAACGGUAGCGCAUGGAAAUAAUGGAAAAGGACCCGCUUUCUUUUCUGUUGGUCUAACGAAAGCAGGUAAUGAUCAAGAGGGACGGAUGGGGGCAGAGGUAUGGCCCGGCGAGAGGUGAAAUUCUUGGACCCCGGCCCAGACCCUCGAGAGCGAGAGCAUCUGCCAAAGAUGUUUUCCAUUGAUCAAGAACGAAAGUCGCGGGAUCGAAGCGGAUUAGAGACCCGGACGUAGUCGCGACCGUAAACGAUGCCAACCGGGAAUUUGACAGUGUUACUUUCAUGACCUGCCAAGCGCCCGACCCGGGAAACCGAGAGUUUUUGGGUUCCGGGGGGAGUAUGGUUGCAAAGCUGAAACUUAAAGGAAUUGACGGAAGGGCACCACCAGGAGUGGAGCCUGCGGCUUAAUUUGACUCAACACGGGGAACCUCACCCGGCCCGGACACCGCGGGGAUUGACAGACUGAGAGCUCUUUCUCGAUUCGGUGGGUGGUGGUGCAUGGCCGUUCUUAGUUGGUGGAGCGAUCUGUCUGGUUAAUUCCGAUAACGAACGAGACCCCAUCCUGCUAACUAGCCCUCGGGUCCGGCUUCUGGCGGGCCCGAUGGAAUGACUCGCUUCUUAGAGGGACUCGCGGCGCCUAGCCGCACGAAGGGGGGCGAUAACAGGUCUGUGAUGCCCUUAGAUGUUCGGGGCUGCACGCGCGCUACACUGAAGGCACCAGCGUGCGCUUUGUCCGUUCCCUGCCUGAAAAGGCCGGGUAACCCGCUGAACCGCCUUCGUGCCUGGGAUAGGGAUUUGCAAUUAUCUCUCUUGAACGAGGAAUUCCCAGUAGGCGCGAGUCAUCAGCUCGCGUCGAUUACGUCCCUGCCCUUUGUACACACCGCCCGUCGCUACUACCGAU
rnacentral:rRNA from 1 species